rnacentral:rRNA from 1 species
UACGGAGGGGGCUAGUGUUGUUCGGAAUUACUGGGCGUAAAGCGUGCGCAGGCGGUUUGUUAAGCCAGAUGUGAAAGCCCCGGGCUCAACCUGGGAACUGCGUUUGGUACUGGCAAGCUAGAGUACGGCAGAGGGGGGUGGAAUUCCACGUGUAGCAGUGAAAUGCGUAGAGAUGUGGAGGAACACCGAUGGCGAAGGCGGCCUGCUGGGCAGUUGCUGACGCUGAGGCGCGACAGCGUGGGGAGCAAACAGG